rnacentral:rRNA from 1 species
AUUGAACGCUGGCGGCAUGCUUUACACAUGCAAGUCGAACGGUAACAGGGAGCUUGCUCCGCUGACGAGUGGCGAACGGGUGAGUAAUGCGUCGGAACGUGCCGAGUAGUGGGGGAUAACGCAUCGAAAGGUGUGCUAAUACCGCAUACGUACUGAGGUAGAAAGUGGGGGACCUUCGGGCCUCACGCUAUUCGAGCGGCCGACGUCUGAUUAGCUAGUUGGUGAGGUAAAGGCUCACCAAGGCGACGAUCAGUAGCGGGUCUGAGAGGAUGAUCCGCCACACUGGGACUGAGACACGGCCCAGACUCCUACGGGAGGCAGCAGGGGGGCAUUUUGGACAAUGGGCGCAAGCCUGAUCCAGCCAUUCCGCGUGUCUGAAGAAGGCCUUCGGGUUGUAAAGGACUUUUGUCCGGGAGCAAAUGCCUGGUGUUAAUAGCAUCGGGAGCUGAGAGUACCGGAAGAAUAAGCACCGGCUAACUACGUGCCAGCAGCCGCGGUAACAC